rnacentral:rRNA from 1 species
GACGAAGGUGGCUAGCGUUGUUCGGUGUCACUGGGCUUAAAGAGUGUGUAGGCGGAUUAGUAAGCGCUUUGUGAAAUACCUCGGCUUAACCGAGGAAUUGCUUGGCGAACUGCUUUUCUUGAGGCAAGUAGGGGUGCAUGGAACUCUUGGUGGAGCGGUGGAAUGCGUAGAUAUCAAGAGGAACGCCGGUGGAGAAAUCGGUGCACUGGGCUUGUUCUGACGCUGAGACACGAAAGCGUGGGGAGCGAACGGGAUUAGAUACCCCCGUA